UCGCCGGGAUUUGUGGACCAGCGAACGCGUCCCUCGCGGCGACGGAUUACGUGACGGCGGCAUGCUAUCCCCCGGAUCUCAGCUCACCCUGACCGCCUCUCACCCUCAGCCCCACGUCGUUGAUCCCGCGAUGACGCCCACCUCGGCGCCGGUGCCGACUCCGACCUCGGCGUCGGGCCCCAACAACCCGGUCGCCAUGAGCCAACUGGGAACCGUCUAUGCCACCAAAAGACGACGCCGAAACGGGAAAAGUUUAAAACCACCCCAAAAGGAUGGGGUAACGAAGUCGAACCCCAGCAAGAGACAUCGGGAACGAUUGAACGCCGAAUUGGACACUCUGGCGUCGUUGCUUCCGUUCGAACAAAACAUUUUGAGCAAGCUGGAUCGACUCAGCAUCUUGAGACUCAGCGUUAGCUAUCUCCGAACGAAGAGUUACUUCCAAGUGGUGAUGCACAAAGACAAAGAAGAAAAUUCGCACCACGAUUCGCACUACAGAGCGAGGGAGUUGGCCGCUUUUGCGUACGAUCAUCAUCAUCUCGACGGCGAAAUGUUCCUACAGGCGCUGAACGGGUUCCUGCUCAUACUGACUUGCGACGGGGAAGUGUUCUUCGCCACCCACAGCAUAGAAAGUUACCUUGGCUUCCAUCAGUCCGACAUUGUCCAUCAAAGCGUCUACGAGUUGGUGCACAGUGAAGAUCGAGAAGAAUUGCAAAGGCAGUUGAUGUGGAAUUCUUUUCUACCCGCAGAAAGUGCGAGUCUACCUCUUCACGACGCUCUCUCACCCCAACAUAGUCAUCUCCUAGAACGCAGUUUUACUGUUCGCUUCCGGUGCCUUUUGGACAACACAUCCGGUUUCUUGCGUUUGGAUAUUAGGGGACGCGUGAAGAUACUCCAUGGUCAAAAUCGAAAAACCGAAGAGCCACCUUUGGCAUUGUUCGCUCUGUGCACGCCGUUUGGACCACCGUCGCUCCUGGAAGUUCCACAGAAGGAUGUGAUGUUCAAAAGCAAACACAAACUGGAUUUGGCCCUUGUGUCGAUGGACCAACGAGGAAAGAUGCUGUUAGGAUACUCGGACGCGGAACUGGCAAAUCUUGGUGGCUAUGAUCUAGUCCAUUACGACGAUUUAGCCUACGUGGCGAGUGCUCAUCAAGAACUGUUAAAAACGGGAGCCUCGGGUAUGAUAGCGUACAGAUUUCAAAAGAAAGACGGUGGAUGGCAGUGGUUGCAGACUAGUUCAAGAUUAGUCUACAAGAACUCGAAGCCCGACUUUGUCAUAAGCACGCAUAGGCCUCUUAUGGAAGAGGAAGGUAGGGAUCUUCUUGGAAAACGGACGAUGGAUUUCAAAGUUAGCUACUUGGAUGCUGGAUUGACCAACAGUUAUUUCUCGGACAACGAUAGUCUGACGGGUUCCGUAAUGACGCCGACGCUUCCAUCCCAACCGACGUCCCAAAGAGUGAACAGGCGGUACAAGACUCAACUGAGAGACUUUCUGUCGACCUGUCGAAACAAACGAACCAAAUUGUCGGCACAGUCAUCGGUUUCCCCGCCAGUCACACCCACGGUCGCGUCCGUGGACUACCUCGCAGCUGAUACCAGUGCUGCAGCUGCAGUCGCAGCCGCGUACAGCAAUCUAAACACAAUGUAUCCGACCGCAUACGCACCCACAGCAGUCACAGCUAGCACCGACCCUUCGUUGACCACCUACAUUGGUCACACAGGCAACUACCAUCAGACCUUGUAUCCCGCGACUGCGUUAGAUAAUAGGUAUCUCACCGCAGCGACGGAAAACUUGUUCCAAUACAGGCCUUUAGGUUCUUACUAUCCAGAGUACCACACGAGCACCGCGUACAACGGCUUCAUCGACGUAAGUCUACCCACCUACGAGACGCACCAGUUGACUAGCAAAGCGGAAGAGAAGUUGUACUGCCAGCAAUUAGGUGAAUCUCCAAAGUACGGCUACGUCGAGACCAGACACCCCAGUAGCGUCAGUGGUUCUCCCUAUGCUGCCAGUCCGAUCGCGAGUGCAUCGACGAUGCACACCGCGACAGCCGACAUCAACAUCGUUCGUGCAGGCAGUAGACAUUCCCUUGAAGGCGGUGCUUCGUCCAGCAACUCCGCCGGAAGUUCGCCUGUAACUGGACCAACGAACGGCGUGCUCACCCCAAAGAUAGAGGACGUGAAGCCCGAGGUGUAUGCCAACGAGGCACCUCGACAAACGGUCUUGAUGUGGGGUGCACCACCUUCUCGUACUCCUCCAAGGAACAACGGCAGCUACAGUCCACCCACGCCACACUCCACGCAUUCGUCAACCCAUUCGACCAAUGCCGCUGCCGGAGAUCCCUUGAAAUCCCUGGCGGAAAUGAACUCGAUGAACGGGGAGUGCAAAUGGAGACAGACUUCACCCAGUGAACAACAAACAGCCGCACCCAGUUCACCCAGAACCAAGCCACAGCCACAACCACAGCACCAGCAUCAUCAACAACAGCAACAGCAACAGCAACAGCAACAGCAACAACCCCAGCAACAGCAUCAGCAGUACCCGGUGACAACGUCACAGUAUCAAGCAGCAGCGGCGGCCGCGGCCGCGGCUGCGGCCGCAGCGGCCAGCACUAUAGGAUACACGCACUCUCAUCCGGGCCAUGGCCACGGGGAAGCGGGCUCCGAGGUAUGGCAAGGAGUGCAACACCACCACCACUACCAGUACUAUCCCUACCACCAUCACCACCCCGCACCACCAAGGCACGCGCCCCACACAUCCCCGUCAGCUGUGGGAACGGGGACGGGAGUCGGCAUGGGCAUCGACAACAACACCAGCAACAGCAACGUCUUGUACCACCCUCCGCACCACCACCCACAGCAUCAACACGUGGUGGGAUCAUCAGCGGGGGCAAUGGGCCCAACUGUCCAACAGAUUCCAAACCGGACGCCGGGAGUCCUUUGUUGUCCAUCUCUGAGGUGACUAACACCUUGCUCAACCAAUAGUCUCUUCGUCGUCUCAGCAUCGCUUCGUUUUGGUGAUCAAGGUAUCUCUCAGGAGAUAGUUUCACCGGGUCGGAUGACAAAACACGUGACUGUAUCAUAUAGAUAAUACCGGUUAACAUUUUUAAGAGUAUUCCUGUGUAACGUUGUAUCGUACUCAUUCCAGUUAACGCUCGACGUUGCUACGACCUAUGUAUGUACGCUUGAUUUACGUUAAUUCAUUCGUACUGUUAAGUUUGCAACGAGAGUCUGUUGCUCGUGAUCGUUGGAAUAUCGAGCAACGAAAGAAAAUUAAAGACUCUCGAUUCGGCUGAACCUCAGUCUUGCCAAUGUUUUGUUAAUAAGUUUGUAAUUUUUGUACUUAAUUAAUUUAUAUACGGCUAUUUAUCUACCGUGCGCGCGAUUCGACGUUUAGCAUAGCUAGACGAGCCUUCCAUAAUUUUAGACGUACUAUCAUUUCGCGAACUUUUUUUUUUUCUCAACAAUCGUCCGUUUUUCGGGAACGGAGAAGACUGCGCGAAGAAUAACGAUAACGAAGAUUGAAAACGGAAGUUCCAAUUAUCUUCCUGUCACGUCGAAGUAUUUUUGUUACAGGAAAGACCCGAGUGAUUUCAAUGCUUCGAAUCUCCAGGCAGAGAUAGAAAAGAAAGAUAGAUAAACGUGAAUUUAUUUUACGUAUUAUACAUAUCAAAAUGGAAGAGAAGAGAACGACAGAUGGUAAUCGUUCUUUUUUCUAUUGCAAUCUUGAUAUAAAUAUAUAUAUAUAUAUAUAAAAAGAGAUAUAUAUGUAUAGAUAAAGAUAUAUGUAUAUUGUAUUAUUUGCUGGUAGGAACGUUUCAAAUCGUACGGAUUUCUUCUCCCUUCGCGUCCUUUGAACCUUGAUCUACAAUUUAUCCUGUACUUUACCUAAUUCAUGUCGUUAUAGUGUUAUACAAUAUACGAAACUAUUUUGCUAUGAUUCUUUGUAAACAUCCACUCCGCUGAUCGGCUUUUUACGAUAGAACGAAGUUCAAGACGCGUCGAGAUUGGUCAUUAACGUGAUUUCUUCGUUAACAGAUAACUACAACAUUUUAUUUCCGACAAAGACAUCAUGAUACAUCUUGUCGAUAAUUGCUAGUACAAAAAUAAUGGUGAAGGAUAUACAUAUCAAUCCGCUCAGUUAAAUUUAUGAUCUAUUUUGUUAUUAAGUUUUAAAUUGAACUCGAAAAUAAAAAAGUGGGGACAGUGUUAAUAACGAGUCUCGAAGCCCAUAUUGUAAAUUCAUAUCUUCGAUCGUAACAGCUUGAAACUACGUUUCUUUGCAAUAUCGUAUGAAGAUCUACUAUUUUAAGUAAUUGAGUCUAGUCCAUACAUCAAGCGAAUAAACGAUAUCUAUUCUGCUGAAAUUGUAAAAAUAUUCUCACUAGCGAUCUUCUCACCCUUCGCCGACAAUCCAUAAAUAAGCUGUGUAUAAAUAAGCUCCAACAACCCUUAAGGCUAACAAGCUUUUAUUUCAGGUUUAUCUUUCAGAAACUAAUAUUUAAAAAAUGGAAGUUAAUUAGGGCCUCGACGACCGACCACCAUCCAACAAGGGUCAAUAUUUUUUACAAGACUAAAAGAAGAAAAACUACUGUUUUAACCCCUCAGUAUAGAAUUAAAGUUUUAUCGUUAGACAAAGUUAAAUAAGGCAGCACCUAAUUUAACUAUUUAAGGGUUGAUCGCAUCGGUGAGAAUAUUAGAGCAAUUUUAGCGCGUUCGUGUAUAUUUACUGUAUAUUUAAAAUAUAAGGUAUCUUCUAACGAGCAUAGGUAAGAUUAGUCGAUAUAGAUGAUUCCCUUUAGCUAUCUACUUAGAUCAAAAUACCGUACCUUAAUUUUAUAGCAACCAGUAUCUGCAGACAACAUGCAAUUCAAUCGUGACCCCCGUAUCUCGAUAUUGGAUCGUUGUUUGAACAUUUUAUCAUCGACUAUUUCCUAUUUUUUACAUCGAACACAACGAGCGUUUUAUUAUAAUUAAAGAAAUAAUAUCACCGAGUGCCUGUUUCGAUCGAGAGGACGUAUCGAACCAGCUAGACCAAUAUUUCCUGAUUUCUAACUAUAAAAUAUUGUCGUGCAUAUCGAGAAGAAUGAAAUAAAAUUUAAGAUACUUAUGAAUAUUUGAUCAGGUUCUUAUGGUAUUUAAUCGAAAUGAACUUUACAGAAUUCUUCAACACUUAUAAAUAUUUGUAAAUAAAUCUUCUGAUUACACAUUUCAUAUACAUCAUUUUGCUUGGAAAUACUUUAUUAAAUUCAUUGGUUCUCUGUUUCUUUUUACAAGUAUCCAUUUUCACAGAAAGUUGAAAAACCUGCAUUGAAAAUUCUUAACACAAUGUGAUUAGAAAGAACAAAGGAGAAACAUUAAAAAGAAUGUUAAUUACAGCGUUACAUAUCUAUUGUCUAGAUGAAUCAAGGUAUUCUUCGUUUACAAAUUCACAUAAAAAUACACUUUUUCCAUUCGAAAAGUUGUUGCUCAAACAAAGAGGCAAAAUUUAAGAGACAUUGCGCAGAUAUCUGUAUUCCAUUGAAUCAUCGUUGGAUCUUAUUCAAUAUAUUGCAUUCUGUUCUGCAGAUGUUCUUUUUUUAUACAUAUAUAUAAAAUAUAUACAUAUAUCAAAAAAUGUAUCGAAGUGAAACACGAUAUCAUGCCAAACAAAAACUUUGACUCUCUCCUCGAUCCACUCCAUCCACUUUAAUCUCCGAUAAUAUUCUAUAUAGAAUCUAAUUACUUAUUAACACUACUACUAAAAAAAAGCUAAGCUCUACGAAAUGAAAUUUUAAAACUGUAUCAAAUGUUUAUAUGAAAUAAAUUAUAAUAAUGCAAUAGAACGGACGUCCUCUAUUCUGUAUUUUGUACAUUCGACAAAAAGGAAGGAGAAAGGAUACCGUCUUAAGUAGAAAAUUAUUACACUAAAGAUAUCUAGGUGAAGAAUAUUUCAUUCCAUCAUUACUCUGAGUAUGUUACUUUUCAUUUUUUUUUAUUUAUUUCAUUUAAAAAUGACUCGUUACACUUAUCAUAGCAAUAUGUAUGUAAGGCCCGAACUUACAAUACAUUAAAAUCAUCGGUUUUGUAUUUUCUCUUUUUUAUCAAACGUAUGUCGAACGUGUAUCAAUACAUGAUAAACUGGAACAAUUAUGUAAAUCUUCGUACUUGUUUAUGUAUGUGUCUGUGUGAGCUUGUGUUUUAGGGUUUGUAACAGUUUCGUAUCUACUCGUUCGUACUUAAUGUGAACAAUCAACUGGAUUCAAGAAAGAGAUCGAUUAAAAAACAAGGAAAAACCAAACUGUCACGAUUCCUAAAUGCUUUCGAAUGCGGGCAAUUCUCAAAGAUCAAAGGUGUGACAAUUUAUUUGUACCUGAUCAGUUUCUCUUACACGAGCUUUUCGACGAUGUAACAACGGUUCGGUGUUUUUUUUUUCUUUAUGGAAA